UAAGGCUUUUCAGGGAAGAAAUGGUCGAGCAUUUUUGUUCUCUCACGCAAUGAACAUUGUCGUGGGACCAAAAGAGGAUAGGCAUCUCAUGACUGGUCUCCAUACAGUUGCUGAUGUCCAUUGCUGCGACUGUCGUGAGGUGCUUGGGUGGAAAUAUGAACGAGCAUAUGAAGAGGCACAGAAGUACAAGGAAGGAAAGUUCGUACUUGAGAAGUCAAAGAUCGUCAAGGAAAACUGGUAAUAGUCCACCCUGAAUUCUAUGAAAGUGUGUCGAUGCUCCUAUGUACGUGUUAUGCUGUUAGAUCAAAUUCUCAUCAAUUCAAAAUGUUGAUUCAUUGUUCAUUGCUGUAUAAAUUUCUUAUGUUUGUUGUUCGAUUGGAUUGGAUAUGUUGAACAAUCUUG
rnacentral:misc_RNA from 1 species